CUAGCAACUGGUAUACCUGGUUUGAAUAUCCGUGUGUUCUUGAACUGUAUCGCUGCAGUAUGUAUCCCCUGAGAACAAAAGGACAUGGGUCUUUUCUGCAAAUACCAACACUUGAAAUUUGCCCAAAUUACCUAAGUGGGCACACAAGCAAACAUGCACGUGCUGCAUCCUUCGUGUCACAAAGGUGUGAAGACCAAUUCAAGGCUUUAUCUGGCUAUGUCUGACCUCAAAUGUUGGUGCUGCAGAAGCUGGCCCAUGACUCUUCUCCUCUAUACACUACCUUUAGGUGACUACAUCCGAAGUUUCAACUAUCCCCCUAUAACUGAGCAAUCCCUCUAUGUUUUUAUUUAAAACAUUUUUCUCAAGUUUCAAACUGAAGUUUUCCUCUGCCUUCCAAACAGAUUGUCCUGGAUAUUUUACAGGUAUUUAUAAUUCAGCAUGUCAGCCAUAUAUCUGGCCCAACUUAUUUUCUAUGUUAUUUUGUUUGAGUGAACAGUCAAUAUGUGUUUUGAAAUGCAAACAUAUGUACAUAGUUUUUUUAUUAUUUGCACAUUUCACCUUUUUAUUAAUAGAUCAAAACCUUCUCAAAAUUUGAAGAGAUGACUCAUCAAUCUCUCUCAAGGCUCAACAAUCUGUUUGCAAAUUUUAAUGACACUUGUGUUCAAAGAGUUUUGGAGUAUUUUGUCAUAACAUGCUAACCACUUUUAAAUACAUUGUAAUGAAGUACAAGGCAUUUCCUCUGAAAAUUGUUUUGAAAUAUGUAUAAAAGUUUUAGAAA